CCGCACACUACUGAAUCCUCAGA
rnacentral:miRNA from 1 species